UUCCAGACUCCUACGGGAGGCAGCAGUGGGGAAUAUUGCACAAUGGGGGGAACCCUGAUGCAGCGACGCCGCGUGGGUGAAGAAGCGCCUCGGCGCGUAAAGCCCUGUCAGCAGGGAAGAAAAUGACGGUACCUGAAGAAGAAGCCCCGGCUAACUACGUGCCAGCAGCCGCGGUAAUACGUAGGGGGCAAGCGUUAUCCGGAUUUACUGGGUGUAAAGGGGGCGCAGACGGCGAUGCAAGCCAGGAGUGAAAGCCCGGGGCCCAACCCCGGGACUGCUCUUGGAACUGCGUGGCUGGAGUGCAGGAGGGGCAGGCGGAAUUCCUGGUGUAGCGGUGAAAUGCGUAGAUAUCAGGAGGAACACCGGUGGCGAAGGCGGCCUGCUGGACUGCAACUGACGUUGAGGCCCGAAAGCGUGGGGAGCAAACAGGAUUAGAUACCCGAGUAU
rnacentral:rRNA from 1 species